rnacentral:lncRNA from 1 species
UCAUGGUAUGCAUUUCCGUGUAUUAGCUAAAGCAUUGCGUAUGUCUGGGGGAGAUCAUAUCCAUGCCGGUACAGUAGUAGGUAAGUUAGAAGGGGAACGCAAAAUCACUUUAGGUUUUGUUGAUUUAUUGCGCGACGAUUUUAUUGAAAAAGAUCGUGCUCGCGGUAUCUUUUUCACUCAGGACUGGGUAUCCAUGCCAGGUGUUAUACCAGUAGCUUCAGGUGGUAUUCAUGUUUGGCAUAUGCCAGCUCUGACCGAAAUCUUUGGGGAUGAUUCUGUAUUACAAUUUGGUGGAGGAACUUUAGGACAUCCUUGGGGAAAUGCACCUGGUGCAGCAACUAAUCGAGUGGCUUUAGAAGCCUGUGUACAAGCUCGUAACGAAGGGCGCGAUCUUGCUCGUGAAGGUAAUGAAAUUAUCCGAGCAGCUUGCAAAUGGAGUCCUGAACUAGCCGCAGCUUGUGAAGUAUGGAAGGCGAUCAAAUUCAAGUUCGAGCCGGUAGAUACUAUCGAUUAAUAGAUAAAACUAAAUAUGAAGAAGGUCUAAAUAAAAAGAAACAAAAUGAAAAGAGAAAAAAUAAGUUACGAAAUGCAGUAAUUCUUCUUUAUUCUUCUAAUUGA